UUCAAGAUGAUGCACUGCCUGAUGGAACUGAACUAGCUUAUUUUGUUCAUGGGCAGGUUGUUAAGAUGAGCACAUACAUAUUAUUAUUUUGGUUUAAGGAAAUGUUUAUGUUGCUUUUUAUAAAGAUCAAAUGUAUUAAACAAUUAACAUAUUUUUUUUAUUUGUGGAAGCAACGCUUUCCCAGUGAAGCACCUUGUUGUGAUAUGUAUUUGUUUUCUGAUUACUUGUCAUCUACAGAAAUGCACAGAAGGUUAUAAGAAGGGUUUUGGAAUAUUUUGCCUUUGCUGCCAAAGUGAGGUCAGCCCUUCUCAGUUUGAAGCACAUGCGGGUUGGGCUUCUUGUCGCAAGCCCAGUUCAGCACUGAAGUUUUACGCAUGCAACAAGAAAUUGCAAGGCUCAGGGAGAACACUGCACAUUUUCAGGCUACGGUUGAGACGAAACUCG